CGUCAAAGAAGAACAGAGUAAUGUUAACGCUACUCGGCCUGAAGUACUAGAAGAAAGCUAUCUACUUGAAGGUAGAAGGAGUAAGAUGACAAGAAAAUAGAACGCUGCCAGACAGCCACAGGAUCUCUAGAGGCCUAUGCAUGCUGUGACAUGGACCUGGAUGGGGACACAUAUGCUUCCAGCUGCCAGACUGAAUACUGGGGCCUUCAGUGGUACCUUACCUGACAUUACAGCAAGAGACUCCUUAUCUCUGUUUCGCAGCCAUUGUAUUUUAUGUAUUUCAUUCAUACAAACUGCUACAG